GACGAACGCUGGCGGCGUGCUUAACACAUGCAAGUCGAACGGAAAGGCCCUGCUUUUGUGGGGUGCUCGAGUGGCGAACGGGUGAGUAACACGUGAGUAACCUGCCCUUGACUUUGGGAUAACUUCAGGAAACUGGGGCUAAUACCGGAUAGGAGCUCCUGCUGCAUGGUGGGGGUUGGAAAGUUUCGGCGGUUGGGGAUGGACUCGCGGCUUAUCAGCUUGUUGGUGGGGUAGUGGCUUACCAAGGCUUUGACGGGUAGCCGGCCUGAGAGGGUGACCGGCCACAUGGGGGCGGAGAUAGGGCCCAGACCCCUCGGGGAGGGAGGAGGGGGGAAUAUUGCACAAGGGGCGGAAGCCUGAUGGAGCAACCCCGGGGGGGGGAUGGCGGCCUUGGGGUUGUAAACCGCUUUCCCCUGUGACGAAGCGGGAGGGGCGGAAAUGGGUAAAGAAGCACCGGCUAAUUACGU
rnacentral:rRNA from 1 species